rnacentral:rRNA from 1 species
GAUCAUGGCUCAGGAUGAACGCUGGCGGCAGGCUUAAUACAUGCAAGUCGGACGGUAACGCGCGGGUAGCAAUACUUGUGGCGACGAGUGGCGGAUGGGUGCGUAACGCGUAUGCAACCUGCCCCUUAUUGGAGGAUAACGUUGUGAAAACGGCGAUAAUAUUCCAUGUGCACGCUGGGGGGCAUCCUCCGGUGUGUAAAGAUUCAUUGAUAAGGGAUGGGCAUGCGUAUCAUUAGGUAGUUGGCGGGGUAACGGCCCACCAAGCCGACGAUGAUUAGGGGUCCUGAGAGGGCAACCCCCCACACUGGAACUGAGACACGGUCCAGACUCCUACGGGAGGCAGCAGUAGGGAAUAUUGGGCAAUGGAGGCAACUCUGACCCAGCCAUGCCGCCGUGAAGGAAGACGGCCCUAUGGGUUGUAAACUUCUUUUGUUGCAGAGUAAAGGCGGGGACGUGUCCCCGUGUGAGAGUAUGCGACGAAUAAGCAUCGGCUAACUCCGUGCCAGCCGCCGC